AGCGAACGCUGGCGGCAGGCCUAACACAUGCAAGUCGAACGAACUCUUCGGAGUUAGUGGCGGACGGGUGGGUAACACGUGGGAACGUGCCUUUAGGUUCGGAAUAACUCAGGGAAACUUGUGCUAAUACCGAAUGUGCCCUUCGGGGAAAGGAUUUAUCGCCUUUAGAGCGGCCCGCGUCUGAUUAGCUAGUUGGUGAGGUAAAGGCUCACCAAGGCUACGAUCAGUAGCUGGUCUGAGAGGAUGACCAGCCACAUUGGGACUGAGACACGGCCCAAACUCCUACGGGAGGCAGCAGUGGGGAAUCUUGCGCAAUGGGCGAAAGCCUGACGCAGCCAUGCCGCGUGGAUGAUGAAGGUCUUAGGAUUGUAAAAUCCUUUCACCGGUGAAGAUAAUGACUGUAGCCGGAGAAGAAGCCCCGGCUAACUACGUG
rnacentral:rRNA from 1 species